rnacentral:rRNA from 1 species
GAUGAACGCUGGCGGCGUGCUUAACACAUGCAAGUCGAACGGAAAGGCCCAAGCUUGCUUGGGUACUCGAGUGGCGAACGGGUGAGUAACACGUGGGUGAUCUGCCCUGCACUUCGGGAUAAGCCUGGGAAACUGGGUCUAAUACCGGAGAGGACCACAUGUUGGAUGGGGUGGUGGAAAGUUUUUCGGUGUGGGUUGAGCUCGCGGCCUAUCAGCUUGUUGGUGGGGUAAUGGCCUACCAAGGCGUCGACGGGUAGCCGGCCUGAGAGGGUGUACGGCCACAAUGGGACUGAGAUACGGCGCAGACUCCUACGGGAGGCAGCAGUGGGGAAUAUUGUACAAUGGGCGCAAGCCUGAUGCAGCGGCGCCGCGUGGGGGAUGACGGCCUUCGGGUUGUAAACUCCUUUCGCUUGGGACGAAGCGCAAGUGACGGUACCUGGAGAAGAAGCACCGGCUAACUACGUG